UCAGUUCAUCCUCAAAGUUGGAACCCUAUGUGGUCUGUAUCCAGCAUACUUACCACCGGGCUUCUCUCUUUCAUGAUGGAUACCAGUCCUACCUCUGGCAGUGUGAACACUACUGCU